UAGGUUUAGCGAUGACCAGUUUAGCAGUGC
rnacentral:piRNA from 1 species